GAGCCAUUAGCCCUAAGGGAUACGGAUGAAGUAGAUCCAACCAUCCCACUGCUUGAUGAAGAAGCACAGAACUUUGAAUUCAAGGCUGCCUUUAUCUAGAUCCCUGACUGACCUGCACUGAGGAGAAAGCAGUUCCAGCUUUGGAAACUGGGGCACUGGGGGAGCCAGGUUCAGGGACAGAGAAUUUGAGCAGUGUCCUGGUAACAGCCUGCAUGGAAGCAGAGGUCAGUUCCUGAGAAGCUCUGCCUGCGUACCUCCUCAGUUUGGGGGAAGGAGGAGCCCCGACCUGGUCAAAAUCAGCCUUCCUUCCCCAGAGCGCCUGUGACCUGAGACCAGGCAAGAACCACGACUGACCACAGGGGAGAAUCCAGUCACUUUCGUUACACUGUGCUCCUGUUCCCUUGGGAAGCCAGCCCCACACUCCUGUAGACUCUCUCUCAUCCCCUAGAUGAGCCUUUUCGUCUACCCCUUGGACAUUCUGACCUCGUACACACCUCGAAGUGUACCGGUAACUCUGCUCUAAUAUGUCAAGUUCUGAAAACAUUUCCACUCUUCUGGCCAAGGAGGCUCAGCCAGUUGUGGGGUGAAAUUUGGGAAGCCUGGAUUGGGAAGUGAAGAUCACCUUGUUCUGUGGAAAGUGAAAGAGGAAUUGAAGCGAGGAAGCUAACGCUCUUCCUUUGGUUCCAGCGCAUCAACCUUCACCUCUCCCCGCAGCACCGCGAUCACCAGCCAUCAAGGCCACCUUGCCCGGUGCCUUUUUUUUUAAAUAUGGCUUUAAAUGCUUCAUCGUGGUUAGAAGACAACAUAGAGAAGCAUUAACAAAAUGAUGGGGAAGACACAAAAUAGAAGAACAGAGAAAGAAGAAAGAGGAAGUAGAAUUCAGGAGGAGAAAAAAUCAUGACAUUGGUUUAUUGAAAACUGAACAGAAGGCAAAAUUGCACCCAGCCACCUCCAGCCCAGCAGGCUUGUCAAAACCAACUCAGACACAGGGGGACUCUUACCUAUUUGUCUCUGGAUCUUCAGAAUGGAGUCAGGAGAGGUGGCAUUUGGAGGCAGCGGAGCUGUGCUGGUUACCUUCGUUUCCCCCUCUGCAUCUACAGAGGUGUUUUGCACAUAAAAGGAUUUCAACAGAGUGAAAUGAUCACUAACUUUUAAGUUAUAUCUACUCUUGCAAAGUGAAAUGUGGAGUUCAGAUGUCUGGGGGGAUAAAAAGGUGUUAAAAAAAGACCCAAAUGGUCCACAUGAAUAAAAGAUGAUACAUUUGGGC
rnacentral:lncRNA from 1 species